rnacentral:rRNA from 1 species
AAUAGAUACCCCGGUAGUCCACGCCGUAAACGAUGAGUGCUAAGUGUUAGAGGGUUUCCGCCCUUUAGUGCUGCAGCAAACGCAUUAAGCACUCCGCCUGGGGAGUACGGUCGCAAGACUGAAACUCAAAGGAAUUGACGGGGGCCCGCACAAGCGGUGGAGCAUGUGGUUUAAUUCGAAGCAACGCGAAGAACCUUACCAGGUCUUGACAUCCUCUGACACUCCUAGAGAUAGGAAUUUCCCCUUCGGGGGACAGAGUGACAGGUGGUGCAUGGUUGUCGUCAGCUCGUGUCGUGAGAUGUUGGGUUAAGUCCCGCAACGAGCGCAACCCUUGAUCUUAGUUGCCAGCAUUUAGUUGGGCACUCUAAGGUGACUGCCGGUGACAAACCGGAGGAAGGUGGGGAUGACGUCAAAUCAUCAUGCCCCCUUAUGACCUGGGCUACACACGUGCUACAAUGGAUGGUACAAAGGGCAGCGAAACCGCGAGGUUAAGCCAAUCCCAUAAAACCAUUCUCAGUUCGGAUUGCAGGCUG